rnacentral:lncRNA from 1 species
GGAAGCUCAUCUGGAACACCAGGCACUGGGACCACCAGCACUGUUACACCAUCAGGAACAAGAGGAACAGAUACAGCCACAACUGCAGCUCCUGGAACGAGCACAUCUGGAGGAACAGGCACACCCAGAGCAUCCUCUGCAACAACCUCUGCAGCAGCUGUCAGCAGCAGCCCUGGGACAAGAAGCACUGGAGCCCCAGAUUCUGAUUCUGCAAGGACCACUACUGCUAGUUCAGUGGCCACAACCAAACCAUCUACCUCUGCCAGCACAGAACCAGGCUCACCUGGAGCAUCAUCUGGAUCCAGCCCUGGUACAGCGGGUGUCAGCACUCCUGGAGAAGCAAGUACUGGAGCCACAGCUUCAGGAACCAUAAGCACUCCUGGAGGCUCUACCACUGUAAGUCCUGAAACAUCAACUAGACCAGUCACUACCUCUGCUGAGAGCAGUGCAGGGACCACUGCACCAUCAGCUGGUGAAACAACUAGAGCCUCUAGCAGUCAAUCAACCCAGCCUGGAGAACAAUCAGGUGAGCAGGUAGUAUUCAGAAGUGUGGAGUCAUCACCCUGUUUCUCACUUAAAGCA